rnacentral:pre_miRNA from 1 species
UAACGUUUGACUCUUCGUUUUAUUUAAAAAUUUUCUACGAUUAGUGUUUUUAUUAUUAUUAGAUGAUAAAAUAUGAAUAGUAUUUUAUACGUGACUAUUUUUUUUACUUUUGUAUAAAAUUUUCAAAUAAAACGGAUGGUCAAACGUUA